rnacentral:sRNA from 1 species
AUGUGCCACGCGUACACUCAGGUUCUGAGCGUCCGUCCACAAGUCCCGAGCGAUUGCUCGCUACGUUUUGUCAGUC